rnacentral:rRNA from 1 species
GGGAAACCGGGGCUAAUGCCGGAUAACAUGUUGAACCGCAUGGUUCUACAGUGAAAGACGGUCUUGCUGUCACUUAUAGAUGGACCCGCGCCGUAUUAGCUAGUUGGUGGGGUAACGGCCUACCAAGGCGACGAUACGUAGCCGACCUGAGAGGGUGAUCGGCCACACUGGAACUGAGACACGGUCCAGACUCCUACGGGAGGCAGCAGUAGGGAAUCUUCCGCAAUGGGCGAAAGCCUGACGGAGCAACGCCGCGUGAGUGAUGAAGGUCUUCGGAUCGUAAAGCUCUGUUGUUAGGGAAGAACAAAUGUGUAAGUAACUGUGCACAUCUUGACGGUACCUAACCAGAAAGCCACGGCUAACUACGUGCCAGCAGCCGCGGUAAUACGUAGGUGGCAAGCGUUAUCCGGAAUUAUUGGGCGUAAAGCGCGCGUAGGCGGUUUUUUAAGUCUGAUGUGAAAGCCCACGGCUCAACCGUGGAGGGUCAUUGGAAACUGGAAAACUUGAGUGCAGAAGAGGAAAGUGGAAUUCCAUGUGUAGCGGUGAAAUGCGCAGAGAUAUGGAGGAACACCAGUGGCGAAGGCGGCUUUCUGGUCUGCAACUGACGCUGAUGUGCGAAAGCGUGGGGAUCAAACAGGAUUAGAUACCCUGGUAGUCCACGCCGUAAACGAUGAGUGCUAAGUGUUAGGGGGUUUCCGCCCCUUAGUGCUGCAGCUAACGCAUUAAGCACUCCGCCUGGGGAGUACGGUCGCAAGACUGAAACUCAAAGGAAUUGACGGGGACCCGCACAAGCGGUGGAGCAUGUGGUUUAAUUCGAAGCAACGCGAAGAACCUUACCAAAUCUUGACAUCCUUUGACAACUCUAGAGAUAGAGCUUUUCUCUUCGGAGGACAAAGUGACAGGUGGUGCAUGGUUGUCGUCAGCUCGUGUCGUGAGAUGUUGGGUUAAGUCCCGCAACGAGCGCAACCCUUGAACUUAGUUGCCAUCAUUCAGUUGGGCACUCUAAGUUGACUGCCGGUGACAAACCGGAGGAAGGUGGGGAUGACGUCAAAUCAUCAUGCCCCUUAUGAUUUGGGCUACACACGUGCUACAAUGGACAAUACAAAGGGCAGCGAAACCGCGAGGUCAAGCAAAUCCCAUAAAGUUGUUCUCAGUUCGGAUUGUAGUCUGCAACUCGACUACAUGAAGCUGGAAUCGCUAGUAAUCGUAGAUCAGCAUGCUACGGUGAAUACGUUCCCGGGUCUUGUACACACCGCCCGUCACACCACGAGAGUUUGUAACACCCGAAGCCGGUG